CGCUCACUUCGUUCGCUUGCUCACGCCGGGCUACCUUCGGUAGCCAGUUCGUCGCUCGAUGAAACAAGCGAACGCAGUGAGCGCC
rnacentral:tRNA from 1 species